CUACUAGGGGAGCCGUUAGGCUGAGAUGAAAUAGUUCAGACCCUUACAACCUGAUUUGGUUAAUACCAACGUAGGAAAGUAGUAUUGUA
rnacentral:ncRNA from 1 species